rnacentral:rRNA from 1 species
GAUGAACGCUAGCGGCAGGCUUAAUACAUGCAAGUCGUGGGGCAGCAGGUUUGUAGCAAUACAGAUGCUGGCGACCGGCAAACGGGUGCGGAACACGUACGCAACCUCCCUCUUUCUGGAAGAUAGCCCACCGACAGGUGGAUUAAUACUCCAUAAUAUAUUGAAGUGGCAUCACUUUAAUAUUAAAGCUCAGGCGGACAGAGAUGGGCGUGCGUCUGAUUAGGUAGUUGGCGGGGUAACGGCCCACCAAGCCUGCGAUCAGUAGCUGAUGUGAGAGCAUGAUCAGCCACACGGGCACUGAGACACGGGCCCGACUCCUACGGGAGGCAGCAGUAAGGAAUAUUGGUCAAUGGACGCAAGUCUGAACCAGCCAUGCCGCGUGGAGGAUGACGGUCCUCUGGAUUGUAAACUUCUUUUCUCUGGGACGAAACCCCCGAUUUCUAUCGGGCCUGACGGUACCAGAGGAAUAAGCACCGGCUAACUCCGUGCCAGCCGCCGCAGUAAGAC